GCUACUUCACGGCUAGAGACACAAGUGGCACAGGACAGGAGACCCUUCUUCAGCCCAUACUGCCAAGAGCAGGAUUGCUGUGUCCUGUGUAUGCUGCAGUGAAGAAGUCUUCUGUCAAAAUGUACUCAUAGCUCUAGUUCAUGGGUAGACUUCUUCCCUUGCCAUAGUUUCCUAACUGCUUCCCUCGCUGAUUGCAUUUAAUACCUGUAUUUGCUGUACCUCUAAUGCCCAAAGAAAGAAGGCUAUGUUUAUUUUGUUUUUAAAUUAGUCUUGAUUUCUAGGAUUAAGAGCCCUUCUAGAAAGGUUCCAAGAGAGUCUCUGAAGCCAUUUUCUAGUGUCAAUGUCAUAUAAAAGAUGAAUAUUUGGUGGCCAAGGGUUGUUUGACUUGGGAUCACGGUUCCCCAGUAAUACUGGUGUUUCUCUCUUUAGCAUGAGUCUGCCCUGCCCUGGGAUGACCACAGACCACAUAUUACCUGGCGUGGGGAUGGGCAGUUUUUUGCUGUGAGUGUUGUUUGCCCACAAACAGGGGCUCGGAAGAUCAGAGUAUGGAACCGAGAGUUUACUUUGCACUCAACUAGCGAGCCUGUGCCAGGACUGGGGCCCCACCUGGCUUGGAAACCUUCAGGCAGUUUGAUUGCAUCUACUCAAGAUAAACCCAACCAGCAAGAUGUUGUGUUUCUUGAGAAAAACGGACUUCUUCAUGGCCAGUUUACACUUCCUUUCUUCAAAGAUGAAGUUAAAGUAAAUGACUUGCUGUGGAACGCAGAUUCUACUGUGCUUGCUGUGUGGCUAGAAGACCUUCCAAGGGAAAACCAUCCUAUUCUGAAAAGUUAUGGUA